UACGUAGGGUGCAAGCGUUAUCCGGAAUUAUUGGGCGUAAAGAGCUCGUAGGCGGUCUGUCGCGUCUGCUGUGAAAACUCGGGGCUUAACCCCGGGCCUGCAGUGGGUACGGGCAGACUAGAGUGCGGUAGGGGAGACUGGAAUUCCUGGUGUAGCGGUGAAAUGCGCAGAUAUCAGGAGGAACACCGGUGGCGAAGGCGGGUCUCUGGGCCGUAACUGACGCUGAGGAGCGAAAGCGUGGGGAGCGAACAGG
rnacentral:rRNA from 1 species